AAAACUGUUAUUUGUGGCUCAGUGGGCAGUUAAAUAUUCAUGCUCAGAAAAAUACAAAAUAAAAGUUGUCAUUUAAUGUUUUCAUCACAGACCAGUUUUUUGGAUGUAACUACUUAAGGCCCACUGUUGACAAAUACUUCAACUGCAACCAAUGAGCAAAGGUUGAGAUCCUUAUUCAAACAAACCUUGAUGAAAGUAAUUCAGAUAUAAGAACUGACUAUGCAGUUAUCUUUUGGUUCCUAGCAGGAAAAAAUAAACAAGUCAAGUAUUAACGUCAGUUUCUGCUUUGUGGGAACAUAACUGUGGCCAAAAAGAUUUUGAAAUAAUUUGCACUGUUAAAGCUUGAGUGAGUACCAGUGCAUAAAGCUGAUAGCCUAAACUGGGCCCCUGGAAGGUACUUGGCUUUCAUAAUUCAGAACAGUUACUGCCACCGAUAAAGUACAGAACUGUGGAAGAUAAUCUCCUCAGCAGACAAAAGGGAAAGACACCAUCUUUGAACAAAUUGAAGAUAACUGCAUUACUAAGGCUAUCCAGAAGGGUUCCAGUCUGGUCGAUUAUGCUGCACAUUAUGAAAUUAAAAGGUA
rnacentral:lncRNA from 13 species